UUUUUCCUGAGCAGUAGGUCUCAACAGCAGGCUUACAAUAUUUAGUAAACCAUGUUAUAAACAGAUGUCCUGUAAUCCAAGCUUUGUUCUUCCAUUUAUAGAGCACAGGCAGAGUAGAUAUGGCAUCAUUCUUAAAGCCCCUAGGAUUUUUGAAAUGGCCAAUGAGCAUUGGC